rnacentral:tRNA from 1 species
GGCCUGAUGGUCUAGGGGUAUGAUUCUCGCUUAGGGUGCGAGAGGUCCCGGGUUCAACUCCCGGUCAGGCCC